ensembl:snRNA U6 U6 spliceosomal RNA
GUGCUCGCUUCGGCAGCACAUAUACUAAAAUUGGAAGGAUACAGAGAAGAUUAGCAUGGCCCCUGCACAAGGAUGACACGCAAAGCGUUCCAUAUUUUU